UCCUACGGGAGGCAGCAGUGGGGAAUAUUGCACAAUGGGCGAAAGCCUGAUGCAGCGACGCCGCGUGAGGGAUGAAGGCCUUCGGGUUGUAAACCUCUUUCAGCAGGGAAGAAGCGCCCAGGUUUUCUUGGGUGUGACGGUACCUGCAGAAGAAGCACCGGCUAACUACGUGCCAGCAGCCGCGGUAAUACGUAGGGUGCGAGCGUUGUCCGGAAUUAUUGGGCGUAAAGAGCUUGUAGGCGGUUUGUCGCGUCUGCUGUGAAAUUUCGGGGCUCAACCCCGAACUUGCAGUGGGUACGGGCAGACUAGAGUGUGGUAGGGGAGACUGGAAUUCCUGGUGUAGCGGUGAAAUGCGCAGAUAUCAGGAGGAACACCGAUGGCGAAGGCAGGUCUCUGGGCCACUACUGACGCUGAGAAGCGAAAGCAUGGGGAGCGAACAGGAUUAGAUACCCUGGUAGUCCAUGCCGUAAACGUUGGGAACUAGGUGUGGGCCUCAUUCCACGAGGUCCGUGCCGCAGCUAACGCAUUAAGUUCCCCGCCUGGGGAGUACGGCCGCAAGGCUAAAACUCAAAGGAAUUGACGGGGGCCCGCACAAGCGGCGGAGCAUGCGAAUUAAUUCGAUGCAACGCGAAGAACCUUACCAAGGCUUGACAUGUGCCGGAAAAGUGCAGAGAUGUGCUCCCCACAAGGUCGGUACACAGGUGGUGCAUGGUUGUCGUCAGCUCGUGUCGUGAGAUGUUGGGUUAAGUCCCGCAACGAGCGCAACCCUCGUUCUAUGUUGCCAGCACGUGAUGGUGGGGACUCAUAGGAGACUGCCGGGGUCAACUCGGAGGAAGGUGGGGAUGACGUCAAAUCAUCAUGCCCCUUAUGUCUUGGGCUUCACGCAUGCUACAAUGGCCAGUACAAAGGGCUGCGAUACCGCAAGGUGGAGCGAAUCCCAAAAAACUGGUCUCAGUUCGGAUUGGGGUCUGCAACUCGACCCCAUGAAGUCGGAGUCGCUAGUAAUCGCAGAUCAGCAACGCUGCGGUGAAUACGUUCCCGGGCCUUGUACACACCGCCAU
rnacentral:rRNA from 1 species